rnacentral:tRNA from 1 species
GGCUUGGUAGCUCAGUUGGUAGAGCAGAGGAUUGAAAAUCCUUGUGUCGGGGGUUCAAAUCCCUCUCAAGCCA